UGAAAAGGUGCAUCUUCCAUGAAGCCUUUUC
rnacentral:piRNA from 1 species